AGAGGAAAGCAGAAGCAGGGAAGGGGAAGAGAGGGGGAGACUGCGCCUGUUGCUGCCGUUGGAGAACAGAACCGUGGCGGAGGGAGCGCCAGGGGAGGAGGAGCUCGCCGCCGCCACUGCGCCUUGUUGCAUACGCCGCCGCUGUCGUCCAGGGAGCCACCACCUCUGUUCGUCGUCGCUAUUCGUCCUCACCAUGUCGCCACCAUCCUUGAGUUCACGAAGAGGGAGACUGACGGGAGGAAGUGGCGCGCACGGGAGAGGAAGAAACUGCCUCUACGCCGCCGUCGUCCACAAGCUCGACCGCCUCGCCAUUGUCGUCGCCGAGCUUCCAUAGCCGCCGCGUUUCACUGCGGUUGAGGGUGUCUCCACCACUGAACCUUGGUCGAUGAUACUGCCGCUACGCGCGAGAGGAAGAGGAGCGAUGAGACAGAACACGACUGAGGGAGAGAAAGGGGGUCGUUGUCGCCACUGGGAUGAUACUACCGAUGAUACUGCCGCCACCAUAUUUCACCUUGGCCAGCAGCAUCCUCCUUGUUCUGAUUUUAAUUUCCCCAAUUUUGAAACCCCCUUUGCUUCAUCUGUUUGUCUACUACAAUCUUCUGGAAUACUGGCGUCGGUGAUAUUACAGAUCUGCUAGAAUUGCUGUCUGGGCAGAAAUUGCUUUUAAAUUCCGAUCCAAUUUAGAUCCUCUAUUUUGCUGCAUUACCAUCCUUCUUGUCUUGGUCUCAAUUCCAGUUUGGUUCGGCUGAGCUUCCUCUGUUGCCAGGAGAACUUGAAAAGAGAGAGCUCACCACCAUUUCUUCCUGUCCCC